rnacentral:rRNA from 1 species
CCUACGGGAGGCAGCAGUGGGGAAUAUUGGACAAUGGGGGCAACCCUGAUCCAGCCAUGCCGCGUGUGUGAAGAAGGCCCUCGGGUUGUAAAGCACUUUCAGUGAGGAAGAACGCCUGGUGGUUAAUACCCAUCAGGAAAGACAUCACUCACAGAAGAAGCACCGGCUAACUCCGUGCCAGCAGCCGCGGUAAUACGGAGGGUGCGAGCGUUAAUCGGAAUUACUGGGCGUAAAGCGCGCGUAGGUGGCUUGAUAAGCCGGUUGUGAAAGCCCCGGGCUCAACCUGGGAACGGCAUCCGGAACUGUCAAGCUAGAGUGCAGGAGAGGAAGGUAGAAUUCCCGGUGUAGCGGUGAAAUGCGUAGAGAUCGGGAGGAAUACCAGUGGCGAAGGCGGCCUUCUGGACGGACACUGACACUGAGGUGCGAAAGCGUGGGUAGCAAACAGGAUUAGAUACCCCUGUAGUC